UGCAGAUAUUUUAUCCGAGAUAUCAAAUCAAAAGCAAAUGAAAAAUUAAAUAUGUUGAUUGAAAAUUUUGAUAGAGAAAAUACAUGUGGAGAUAAAUCAAUAAAAGCCUUUCCUUGUAAACUGAUAAUCAGACAAAUAAAAGCAAUUUUAGCUAAAUCGAAAUUAGGAGACAGACAAGCAAUGCAGUGUAACACAGAAAGUUAUAAGAAUCAGAGAACUUCAAGAGAUAUGAUCAGUUUAGGGAAUGAGCAUGGAUAUGUCUGCCAACAGAGGUACACAGGCUGAUUCCAGAAUUAAGAACAGCCAAGAAUAGAGUUCUAUGUUAGUUUGUUUUAAUGAAAUGUUAGUCUGAACUGUUUUUUUCAUUGUUUUAUAUGUAUUUUAAGAAAGUAUUAGGUUAAUUAAUUAAAAUAAAAAUGUACAUCAAGUUUGCAAAUAUGGCAGAAUGAAAUACACUAAUGUAGCAGUGAGGAACAUGCAAUGUAUGUUAUAUUGGGUGUAUGCAAUUAUACAGUAACUCCAAUCAUUUUACAGAAGGUAAAAACAAUGUUGUUACUUCUGAGGUUGAUUUAAAAUCUUUGAUUUAAUUAAUGAGAAUGAGAUUUUACUAUCAUGACUGAUAAUGGAUUACUGUAUAUUGCAACGCCUGGACAUACACAUGGUUUGGAUAUACUGAAGACAAAAGGAAUAAUAUAUGGGAAUGGAUAAGGCUGAUUUCCCCCUAUCCACAGCCACGCCUACUCCUAAAGUAACAUCGCGUACAUCCUUACUAUGCCCUUUUACUGUAGAAUUUCCCGAAUCCUAAUGACCCAUUCCACUACAU